CAAAGUUGUAAAAAUAAUAUGCUGUGGUAUUAAAUUACGCAGUGUGAUAAAAAAUUAAGAGAAAUCGAGGAUUUAUUGAUACUUAGCUUUGCAAUAAAGAAUUAUAUGCACUCUAAAUAUUAGCAUAUACAUAAAUAAUCUAUAUAUAAAAGUGACAAGAUGGCUGGUGAUUUACCUACCCCAACGAAUGUUGAUGUUCAAGAAGGUUUGCCCUCUGGUCCCAUUCCUGGAGUAAAAUAUCCCAUUGAAGUUUCAUAUUGUGGAGAAUGUUCAAUGCCUUUAGAGGAAGACUAAUUAUAGAAAG